GACCAGACUCCUACGGGAGGCAGCAGUGGGGAAUAUUGCACAAUGGGGGAAACCCUGAUGCAGCAACGCCGCGUGAGUGAAGAAGUAUUUCGGUAUGUAAAGCUCUAUCAGCAGGGAAGAAAAUGACGGUACCUGAGUAAGAAGCCCCGGCUAACUACGUGCCAGCAGCCGCGGUAAUACGUAGGGGGCAAGCGUUAUCCGGAUUUACUGGGUGUAAAGGGAGCGUAGACGGCGAUACAAGUCUGAAGUGAAAGCCCGGGGCUCAACCCCGGGACUGCUUUGGAAACUGUGUUGCUGGAGUGCUGGAGAGGCAAGCGGAAUUCCCAGUGUAGCGGUGAAAUGCGUAGAUAUUAGGAGGAACACCAGUGGCGAAGGCGGCCUGCUGGACGAUGACUGACGUUGAGGCUCGAAAGCGUGGGGAGCAAACAGGAUUAGAUACCCUAGUAC
rnacentral:rRNA from 1 species